UACAGAGGGUGCGAGCGUUAAUCGGAAUUACUGGGCGUAAAGCGUGCGUAGACGGUAAUGUAAGUCAGAUGUGAAAGCCCCGGGCUCAACCUGGGAAUUGCAUUUUGAGACUGCAUUGCUUGGGGUGCGGAAGAGGGAAGCGGAAUUCCGCGUGUAGCAGUGAAAUGCGUAGAGAUGCGGAGGAACACCGAUGGCGAAGGCAGCCCCCCUGGGCUGACACUGACGCUCAGGCACGAAAGCGUGGGGAGCAAACAGG
rnacentral:rRNA from 1 species